AUUGAACGCUGGCGGCAGGCCUAACACAUGCAAGUCGAACGAGUGGCGGACGGGUGAGUAAUGUCUGGGAAACUGCCCGAUGGAGGGGGAUAACUACUGGAAACGGUAGCUAAUACCGCAUACCAUCGGAUGUGCCCAGGUGGGUUUCGCUAGUAGGUGGGGGAACGGCUCACCUAGGCGACGAUCCCUAGCUGGUCUGAGAGGAUGACCGUCCACACGGGACCUGAGACACGGUCCAUACUCCUACGGUACGGAACAGUGGGGAAUAUGUCACAUGCGGGGCAAGCCUGAUGCAGCCAUGCCGCGUGUAUGAAGAAGGCUUUCGGGUUGUAAAGCACUUUCAGCGAGGAGGCGUUACUCGCAGAAUAAGCACCGGCUAACUCCGUGUCAGCAGCCGCGGUAUUAC
rnacentral:rRNA from 1 species